rnacentral:rRNA from 1 species
UACGUAGGGACCAAGCGUUGUUCGGAUUUACUGGGCGUAAAGGGCGCGUAGGCGGCAAUUCAAGUCAGCUGUGAAAUCUCCGGGCUUAACUCGGAACGGUCAAGUGAUACUGUCGGACUAGAGUACAGAAGGGGCAACUGGAAUUCUCGGUGUAGCGGUGAAAUGCGUAGAUAUCGAGAGGAACACCUGCGGCGAAGGCGGGUUGCUGGGCUGAUACUGACGCUGAUGCGCGAAAGCCAGGGGAGCGAACGGG